CUAAGGCUCCAGAGGAAGCCACGGCUAACUCUGUGCCAGCAGCCGCGGUAAUACAGAGGCGGCAAGCGUUGUUCGGAAUUAUUGGGCGUAAAGAGCACGUAGGCGGCCUUGCAAGUCAGUUGUGAAAGCCUUCCGCUUAACGGAAGAAUGCCAGCUGAUACUACAGGGCUUGAGUGCGGGAGGGGAGAGUGGAACUUCUGGUGGAGCGGUGAAAUGCGUAGAUAUCAGAAGGAACGCCGGCGGCGAAAGCGACUCUCUGGCCCGAAACUGACGCUGAGUGUGCGAAAGCUAGGGGAGCAAACGGAAUUAGAUACCCCGGUAGUCCUAGCCGUAAA
rnacentral:rRNA from 1 species